UUUCGCAAUGCCCGAAAGGGUGACGAAGCGACGCCGCGUGGGUGAGGAAGGCCUUCGGGUUGUAAAGCCCUGUCAGGAGUUAAGAAAUGUAAGUGCGCUAAUACCGCAUUUAUUUGACGAAGGCUCCAAAGGAAGUCACGGCUAACUCUGUGCCAGCAGCCGCGGUAAUACAGAGGUGGCAAGCGUUGUCCGGAAUUAUUGGGCGUAAAGAGCACGUAGGUGGGUUUGUAAGUCAGAUGUGAAGGCCUCCUGUUCAACGGGAGAAUUGCAUCUGAAACUGCAGAUCUUGAGUGUAGGAGGGGAGAAUGGAACUUCUGGUGGAGCGGUGAAAUGCGUAGAUAUCAGAAGGAACGCCGGCGGCGAAAGCGAUUCUCUGGCCUAUUACUGACACUCAGUGUGCGAAAGCUAGGGUAGCAAACAGGAUUAGAUACCCCGGUAGUCCUAGCCGUAAACGAUGGGCACUAAGUAGAGGGGUUUU
rnacentral:rRNA from 1 species